UACGUAGGGUGCAAGCGUUGUCCGGAAUUAUUGGGCGUAAAGAGCUCGUAGGCGGUCUGUCACGUCGGCUGUGAAAACCCGAGGCUCAACCUCGGGCCUGCAGUCGAUACGGGCAAACUAGAGUACUGCAGGGGAGACUGGAAUUCCUGGUGUAGCGGUGAAAUGCGCAGAUAUCGGGAGGAACACCAGUAGCGAAGGCGGCUCGCUGGGCCAUUCCUGACGCUGAGACGCGAAAGCUAGGGGAGCGAACAGG
rnacentral:rRNA from 1 species